rnacentral:rRNA from 1 species
CCUACGGGCGGCAGUAGGGAAUCUUCGGCAAUGGACGGGAGUCUGACCGAGCACCGCCGCGUGAGUGAAGAAGGUUUUCGGAUCGUAAAGCUCUGUUGUAUGAGAAGAACGAGUGUGAGAGUGGAAAGUUCACACUGUGACGGUAUCUUACCAGAAAGGGACGGCUAACUACGUGCCAGCAGCCGCGGUAAUACGUAGGUCCCGAGCGUUGCCCGGAUUUAUUGGGCGUAAAGCGAGCGCAGGCGGUUAGAUAAGUCUGAAGUUAAAGGCUGUGGCUUAACCAUAGUACGCUUUGGAAACUGUUUAACUUGAGUGCAAGAGGGGAGAGUGGAAUUCCAUGUGUAGCGGUGAAAUGCGUAGAUAUAUGGAGGAACACCGGUGGCGAAAGCGGCUCUCUGGCUUGUAACUGACGCUGAGGCUCGAAAGCGUGGGGAGCAAACAGGAUUAGAUACCCGAGUAGUC